CAGAGUUGCAAGACUCCCUAAACCAUUGUGAACCUACCUUCUACCGUUGCUUCGGCGGGCGGGCCCAGCGCCCCCCCGGCCCCCCGCGGGCGCCCGCCGGAGGAUACCCAAACUCUUGACAUUAGUGGCCUCUCUGAGUAGUCUUUACUGAAUAAGUCA
rnacentral:misc_RNA from 1 species